rnacentral:rRNA from 1 species
CCUGGGGCUGAAGUAGGUCCCAAGGGUAUGGCUGUUCGCCAUUUAAAGUGGUACGCGAGCUGGGUUUAGAACGUCGUGAGACAGUUCGGUCCCUAUCUGCCGUGGGCGCUGGAGAAUUGAGGGGGGCUGCUCCUAGUACGAGAGGACCGGAGUGGACGCAUCACUGGUGUUCGGGUUGUCAUGCCAAUGGCACUGCCCGGUAGCUAAAUGCGGAAGAGAUAAGUGCUGAAAGCAUCUAAGCACGAAACUUGCCCCGAGAUGAGUUCUCCCUGACUCCUUGAGAGUCCUGAAGGAACGUUGAAGACGACGACGUUGAUAGGCCGGGUGUGUAAGCGCAGCGAUGCGUUGAGCUAACCGGUACUAAUGAACCGUGAGGCUUAACCUUACAACGCCGAAG